rnacentral:lncRNA from 1 species
AUUUCAAUGUUACAGAAUGGAUUUUUUUCUCUAUCAAAAUAUGAGCAUAUAUUUCUUUGUUUAAUUUAUUUAACUCGCUUUCUUGCUAUAGGUGGCUUCAAUUUUAUUCUAUUAAGUUCUCAUAACAUGUAUAUAUCAUUGUCAUGAAAGUAUUUCUUUGAAAUAUCUCUCUUCAUCUCUUAUCAAAAAAUUCUCACAUCUAAC